CGGUGGGAGAGGGAGAACGGAGAGACACUGACUACACAGGAGUGGGAAAAAUUACAUUUAAAUUGCUUACUAACUGGCGUAGGACUCCUGACGUCCUGCACCGCAUGAGCGCAGACAAUUCAGAGGUGUGCUGAAGGUGUGGGUCAGACUUUGGCACCAUACUCCACAUCUGGUGGUCAUGGCCUACAAUUUCCCCCUUCUGUGCGAUUAGGGAGAUCUCAGACCCUGAAC